GCAACGUAUUUAACUGGAUUUGCUGUGCACUUGUGUCAUGUCAGCCAGGAUGAGACAGACCCAAGUUCUCUGCAGGAACAGCAAAGGGACAGGCAGAAUGCAUAGUAGGCAUCGUAGCGAUGGUCACCGAUGAGCAGACGUCAAUACAAAGGAGAAUCCGAAAUCGUAGUCCAAGAAACUAAGUCAACGGUCGGAGUACCGAGAGAACCAAGAGAUCGGAGGACUGGGUUCAGGAAAGACAGGAACAGGGCAGGGAAGGAACAGGAACUGGAACAGGCACGGGAACAACGACAAGGAGGAAAACAAGGAUGCAGGAGAGAUCGCAGGAGUCCCAGGCGUGGGUGAGCGGAUGGCUCAAUGAGGUUCUGCGAUCUGCAAUGACAGCUCCGGCACGAAGCGGAACAGGGAGAGGCUGGACCUGUCAUCCCCUGCAGAGGCGUGUAAUUGGUGGGCGGAGGGGGGCUUUUCCCCUGUUGCUGUCACAUCGGCCCCAUCGCAGUGUCUCCCCCACAGUGAGCGGCACCCCCGCCCCAACUCACAUCUGGCAGUCUUCGGAAGGAAUUUGUUUGUGCCACUCAAAGUCCUCCCGCAAAGGACCACAGCGGAACUCCAGGCAGCACAGUUCCAGUGUGUGGCAAAAUUUUUGUGUUCAGACAAGACUUCACCCAAUGGCUUCUCACUAUUUGGGGAUGGCAGCGCAGAAACACGCUGGAGGAUGAGGAACCUUGUAUGGAACAAGAAUUUAUUUGUUGAUUGACUCUAUUUCUUCACACAGUGCAGUAAUUGGAAUAAUUCUGUAAUUGCCAUUAAUUACAUAAAUUACAAUUAUAAUUACACAGAGAAGAACAUUUAAACACAGACUGUAUUCUCACAUUCCUUUGGCUUCCUUCACCCUUCUCAUCAAUUCACCAUCCAGUACCAGCCCAGGGUCCAAAUAACGCCAUCAAUAUCAGUGCAUUCAUCACAGAUAUUGCAGAACAUUUCUGAAACUGUAACAGAAGGAGGCAUUCAAGAGAUUUCUAUACAGUGAAAUGUGUUUCGCAGCUUCCGCUUCGGCAAACACACGCACCCCCUCCCCCAAGCACACCGAAACCAUACCCACCUCUGAUGGAGAGGCUGCUAAUGGAGAGAAGUUGCUGAAUGGUGAUGAAGACAAGAAACAUUUUCCUCUGUGUGUUUUACAGUUUCUCUGCAGCUCAGUCACAGACUCUCGAGGUGUUUGAUGUGACAAACAGAAGACCCAGCUCUCCGAUGUGUGACAGGAAGGAUCUCCCCUUCCUUCUCCCUCCAAACUAGCACCCCCC
rnacentral:lncRNA from 1 species